GACCAGCGGAGGGAUCAUUACCGAGUUUACAACUCCCAAACCCAAUGUGAACCAUACCAAACUGUUGCCUCGGCGGGGUCACGCCCCGGGUGCGUCGCAGCCCCGGAACCAGGCGCCCGCCGGAGGGACCAACCAAACUCUUUACUGUAGUCCCCUCGCGGACGUUAUUUCUUACAGCUCUGAGCAAAAAAUUCAAAAUGAAUCAAAACUUUCAACAACGGAUCUCUUGGUUCUGGCAUCGAUGAAGAACGCAGCGAAAUGCGAUAAGUAAUGUGAAUUGCAGAAUUCAGUGAAUCAUCGAAUCUUUGAACGCACAUUGCGCCCGCCAGUAUUCUGGCGGGCAUGCCUGUCCGAGCGUCAUUUCAACCCUCGAACCCCUCCGGGGGGUCGGCGUUGGGGAUCGGGAACCCCUCAGACGGGAUCCCGGCCCCGAAAUACAGUGGCGGUCUCGCCGCAGCCUCUCCUGCGCAGUAGUUUGCACAACUCGCACCGGGAGCGCGGCGCGUCCACGUCCGUAAAACACCCAACUUUCUGAAAUGUUGACCUCGGAUCAGGUAGGAAUACCCGCUGAACUUAAGCAUAUCAAUAAAGCGGA
rnacentral:rRNA from 1 species